rnacentral:ncRNA from 1 species
ACGACAAAGGCAAACCCCGUGAAAGCGGGCGACGCAAAGCUACAGGGCCUAAGGGCGAAAGCCUACGGCUGCCAGUUGCCGAA